GACGAACGCUGGCGGCGUGCUUAACACAUGCGAGUCGAACGGUCAGGCCCUUCGGGGUACACGAGUGGCGAACGGGUGAGUAACACGUGGGUGAUCUGCCCUGCACUUCGGGAUAAGCCUGGGAAACUGGGUCUAAUACCGGAUAGGACCACUGCCUGCAUGGGUGGUGGUGGAAAGCUUUUGCGGUGUGGGAUGGGCCCGCGGCCUAUCAGCUUGUUGGUGGGGUGAUGGCCGACCAAGGCGACGACGGGUAGGCGGCCUGAGAGGGUGACCGGCCACACUGGGACUGAGAUACGGCCCAGACUCCUACGGGAGGCAGCAUUGGGGAAUAUUGCACAAUGGGCGCAAGCCUGAUGCAGCGACGCCGCGUGAGGGAUGACGGCCUUCGGGUUGUAAACCUCUUUCAGCACCGACGAAGCGCAAGUGACGGUAGGUGCAGAAGAAGGACCGGCCAACUACGUGCCAGCAGCCGCAGUAA
rnacentral:rRNA from 1 species